rnacentral:rRNA from 1 species
UACGAAGGGGGCUAGCGUUGUUCGGAAUUACUGGGCGUAAAGCGCACGUAGGCGGCUUUGUAAGUUAGAGGUGAAAGCCCAGGGCUUAACCCUGGAAUUGCCUUUAAGACUGCAUCGCUAGAAUCGUGGAGAGGUAAGUGGAAUUCCGAGUGUAGAGGUGAAAUUCGUAGAUAUUCGGAAGAACACCAGUGGCGAAGGCGACUUACUGGACACGUAUUGACGCUGAGGUGCGAAAGCGUGGGGAGCAAACAGG